CCGGAGGUGCGUCCACAUGGCUGAUCAGCAGAGAGGGCCUGCGAAAAUAUAACUAUGCUCGAAACCGGAUCACAUUGACUCUCUGUCCUCCAAAACAAGCACACAGAUAUGCACACGGAUAUCCGUAUUGAUUUGACUACAGUUCACAUUAGCACUGCUCCUCAUCCUGCCUGCAGGCUAUAUGCAGUUCCUGCUAUGCGGAAGCUCUCCAGUCAACUCCAUUCAAACUCAACUCCACCGGAAAAAAAGUUAUUUCAUCUUGAUACAGUCUGUGGCCCUACCCUUUUAACACAGACACUGCCUGGGGCAUGUGCAGUCAGCCUGUAUUAAACAUUUUGCCCAUAGAUAGACACACGCUGAUGGGAGGUUUUUGCCUUGUUCUUGCUCUAAGUGUAAGAAGUGAAAUGAAAUGGUUGAGUGACUGAAUGUUGUUUUGUUUAGUACAUGGGUAGCCUGGAAGUAACGCAGUCCAUGAGAACGCUGGACUUUGACACAAGAAUGCAAAUUACACGAGAGGCUAUUAGUCGUCUAUGUGAGGCAUCGGCAGGUGUCAAGUCAGCUAUAAGAAGUAAAAGGUGAUCUUGUGAUUAGUCCCUGCAGUGGUUUUCAAAACUUUUGUUGUGAAUAAAAAUAAUGUAUUGCAUAGCUGUUAUAUAUUUUAGGGAACACUAUAGAGGUGUACAGGCUAACACUAACUGAACACUGUACAUUGUAAAUUAGUAUACACUCAAAAGGCAGCAAGAAAAUGACUUAGUACAUCUGAUAACAGGCUUAUUCAAGGACAUAUGAAUACUGUUUAGUGUGACUUGGUUAUUAUUAAUAUUUAAUCUCAGGUCAGACUUGAGCUGAAUCCACGCUGUGCCUUUUCACCUGUUAAGAACCACGUGUCUGCAGAACAAUCUUGUUUUCAAUUCGCAAUCCAAAAAUCUCUCUCUCUCUCUCUCUCUCUCUCUCUCUCUCUCUCUCUCUCUCUCUCUCUCUCUCUCUCUCUCUCUCUCUCUCUCUCUCUCGUUUAUGUAUGCAGGGGUUCAAAGCACAAUUGAAUGGAUGACAAGGAUUCACUUGAUGGAUCUUACCUGAUAUGUUUUUCUAUCUUUAGUUGCAUUAGUUUUGGAUGUUUUAACUGAAGUAAUCAUCUUUUUGGCGUGUUUUUGUUUUGGGAUCACCAUGAUGUUACCUGGCUUUUAACUACUUUUGUUAACUCUUACAUAUGUAAACAACACUGCUUGAUUCCUAAUAAAAUGCCUCUCUUAAUUGCAUAUUUUAUUGCUUUCUUACUUUAAUGUG
ensembl:lncRNA